rnacentral:rRNA from 1 species
CACGUAGGGGACGAGCGUUGUCCGGAUUCAUUGGGCGUAAAGAGCGCGUAGGCGGCUCGGAAAGUCGGUUGUGAAAUCCUGGGGCUCAACCCCGGAACUGCGUCCGAUACUUCCGAGCUGGAGGCAGGUAGGGGAGAUCGGAAUUCCUGGUGUAGCGGUGAAAUGCGCAGAUAUCAGGAGGAACACCGGUGGCGAAGGCGGAUCUCUGGGCCUUGCCUGACGCUGAGGCGCGAAAGCUAGGGGAGCGAACAGGAUUAGAAACCCCCGUAGUCC